GACGAACGCUGGCGGCGUGCUUAACACAUGCAAGUCGAACGGAAAGGCCCUGCUUUUGUGGGGUGCUCGAGUGGCGAACGGGUGAGUAACACGUGAGUAACCUGCCCUUGACUUUGGGAUAACUUCAGGAAACUGGGGCUAAUACCGGAUAGGAGCUCCUGCUGCAUGGUGGGGGUGGAAAGUUUCGGAGGUUGGGGAUGGACUUGCGGCUUAUCAGCUUGCCGGGGGGGUAGUGGCUUACCAAGGCUUUGACGGGUAGCCGGCCUGAGAGGGUGACCGGCCACAUUGGGACUGAGAUACGGCCCAGACUCCUACGGGAGGCAGCAGUGGGGAAUAUUGCACAAUGGGCGGAAGCCUGAUGCAGCAACGCCGCGUGCGGGAUGACGGCCUUCGGGUUGUAAACCGCUUUCGCCUGUGACGAAGCGUGAGUGACGGUAAUGGGUAAAGAAGCACCGGCUAACUACGUG
rnacentral:rRNA from 1 species